AUGAUGGCCCCUGACGACAAAUCCGCCCUCAAAUGGGCGAAGGAGGACUAUGUCCGCAAGCGGGUGCGCCGCCAGCGCCGGGCGUACCUGGAGACCCAGCCCCGUAGCCGCGCCGAGGAGGGCGGCGUUAUCGUCAUCGACAACGGCGAUGAGGGUGAGGCUGGGCCGUCAAGCGCCCCACCACGUGUCGGCGACCCCGGCCAGGGCUGCAGCAGGGACGCCGCAGGCAGGGCGCGCGAUGACGACGAAGACGGCGGCGGCGGUAGCGGCGACUACACCCGCUUCUACAGGCUUCUCGGCAUGUAG
rnacentral:rRNA from 1 species